UACGGGGGGGGGCAAGCGUUUGUUCGGAAUUACUGGGCGUAAAGGGCUCGUAGGCGGCCAACUAAGUCAGACGUGAAAUCCCUCGGCUUAACCGGGGAACUGCAUCUGAUACUGGAUGCUUGAGUUAGGAGAGGAAGGCAGAAUUCCCGGUGUAGCGGUGAAAUGCGUAGAGAUCGGGAGGAAUACCAGUGGCGAAAGGCGGCCUUUCUGGACUGACACUGACGCUGAGGCGCGAAAGCCAGGGGGAGCAAACGGGG
rnacentral:rRNA from 1 species